ensembl:lncRNA
CGACAAUUAACAACCUUCAGGGGCCAUCCCUCUGGUCCCUGUUACUUGGGCAGCCUGAUUUUAUACCCCAGAAUUUCUGACAGGAGAAUUGGCACUCUCAGAUCAAACCUCUGCUUUUCUGAGAAUGGGAUCCAGCUGACUGGAACAUCCACGCAGUCCUCAUUCAAGCUGCACAAUGGGGCUGGCUUAGAGGUUUGUUGGGAAUGGAGGAGGGGCACUUAUAGCCUGACAUGGCAGAGCGAUUAGGAUAAAACCCAACACUGGGUACCCUUCUUAAGCCCUUGACCCUCCCCGCCACCCGGGAGCUCCCAUUGGUCAGACCUGCCCCUGAGUGCCUGCCCCAACCCUUCUUGAGCCCCCUCUUUCAUCUCCCCUGUUCUCCACAUCUGCAGACUCCUCACCCCUUCUCUCAUCUUCUGUGGCAGAACCGUCAGCCCCACCUUUGUCUUGCAAGACUUUAACGCCAGGUGCUGGGAUCUAUGUUUCCCCGUCCAAGUGACCCAUUUAGGUAUUCAAACAACAGCAAGAAAAAUCAUUGAGAUCCUCACCCUAAGAGGAAUUAUGCUGCCAGCUUCAUUAUGAUGACAUCAAUAGCUAACCUUUUGAGCACAUAGUGUAUGUCCAGGACCGGACUGAGCACUUUACGUUGACUGAGCAUGUGGGAAAGCUCAUGUUCCUGACUCGGUUUCUUCAUUUAUGAAGAAGGAAAGCAGAGAUAAUUGGUCAGAACCAAGAGGGUAUCUGCUCAAAUUUAAAGUUAUGUAUUGUGUGCCCUCGAACAGGGAGAUUGUACAUCCAUUUAACUGAAGAUUAAUCUGUAAUACAUUCUUAAUUGCAAGAAUAUACAUUUUUCAGGCAGCCCGUUAGAUAACACUGAGUUUCAUGAUUAUUCAACACAGUACAUUUAAAUCUGAAGUCAGAAUGUAAAAUAUGACAUUUGGGAAGAUGUACGAGGUUGUACAGGGAGAUUUGGAAUUCAUAAAGCCAUGAAGUGAUUUAUAUUUGUCAGACAUGGAACAUUUUUUAACUAAUCUUCAUAAAAACAAAAUGUGAAUCAAUAAAAGUUAUCCCAGACAUUCUAGGCCUUUGUGUCUAUGGGAGGCAGGGGCUGGGGGAAGGGAUGGGGAGGAGACUUUCUAAAUUUAGAAAAGAAAGUGGUAACUGAGUACCUGAGAAAGCUUUCUAUCACACCUCAUCUGUCUCCUUCCUCCUUCAGUGACUCAGUUUAGCAGUGAAUGAAAGAGACCAAACAGAUGACCAAACGCAGCAUUGACUGCACUUUCGUUUGUGGGUCCUAGCUCCAUCACUUCCUGUUGGUGGCCGUGGCAGAUGACUUAAACCAUUCACGAGAUAAGAAUAACAGGAGUCCUCUCCAGGUGUUAUUCUGGGGAGUGAAGGAGGCAGUGCAAUUAAGGCCCCGGUACAGUGAGCAGCACACAGGAAACAGUCAAACAUUGCGAUAUUACUCGAUUUCCUUUGAGAUCGUUUUUCCCUUGGGGCUGUUCACGUGGUCCCCGAUAGUCUGGCUGUGUGGCUGCCAGGGGUGGGGGCGGGGGCGUUCGCUCAGAGAUCCUGCCCGGGAAGCCACACCCCAAACACCCCCUCCCUGUGCUCACCAGGGCCCUGAACGCUUUAGCAGGAACACAACCUCUCCCUCCUCUGGUGCUUACAGAGGCGCAGCCCUUCAGAGUCUGCGCUGAGUCUAAACAGGACUUAAAGAAAGAGCAGUUUCUGACGCUGAAAAGCCAGCGGCCAGGUGUUUCCUGGCAGCAAGGGCAAAGGCAGGAAGACAGAGGGAAAAGCGAACAGCCCCACACCCGACGGUCCCGGAACAAACCUGAGCCUCCUCAGUUUCACCAAGACCUGUGCACUUCAGCGAUUCCAUCCAUCCGAAGCUUUGGAUAAAGGACAGGAAGGAAGGGCAGCCACAGGGCCUUUGCAUCCGCCAGGGCUGCAGAUCUCCCAAGCAACCUGCGGGGCCUCACCAACCAUGGCCCCAGCUAUAGCCCAAUCCAGGGCCACGGCCGUCAUGCCCAUCACCUGGGUCCUCGCGGUGACCAUGCUCACCUGCUCUUCUCCUUGGCCUCCGAGGCUGAGUCCUUUAUGGUAACAGGAAGAGAGCUGGGAAGGCCUUGAAGACUCAACUAAAUGGCUGGAGUACAGGGCUGCUUUCUCACCGAAACUGCCUCGGGUCGCAGCAGGUAAGGCACAAAGCCAACAGUAAAAACUGUGUAGGAUGAGAUGAUGAGGAGGCCAGUUCUCCACGGAACACUGUGAAUUCUGGCUCAGUAUGUUGCAUGCACCGUGCAGCCAGCCUCCUGCAGACCCCAGAUCCUGAGUCACUCUGUGACCCCUCCCUGGAGCAGAGGUCACUCUGGAGACAGGUGGGACUGAGCUGCUGUUGAUGCUCACAGCUGAGCUGGACCAGGGAUGGACGGAGUCUGGUGAGGGACCAUCACACUGAGAGCUCUGUGUGCUGCUAGCUAAGAGACUGGGAGAGGAGGAAAUGAAGGAUGUUUGCCUGCAGCCCUCCCCAAGGCUACAGGUGUCAGGAUGCAGGCCCUUCUCUUCCAUCAGAGCUCCCACCAGGUCCUUUAGGCCCUCCCAUCAGAAGGAGAAUCAGGACCUGAGUAAAGGGAGCAGAUUGAUUCAUUACUCACUCUAGUCCUGAUCUUACAUGGUUGGUACUAGAGACUGGGGCUGACUGUGAUUAGGUAAAGGGAGGAAGAGAUUGGGACAAGCUGGUGGACCCAGGGAGGGGGUGAUGGAUGGGGGGAAAUACAUGACACUCAGCGAGGGUGGGGCUCAAGAUGGGGAGUGACUGGGGAGCUGACCCAGGAGACCUGACGCAGGAUUUCCUGAGCCACUUGG